GAUGAACGCUGGCGGCGUGCCUAAUACAUGCAGGUCGAGCGAAUGGAUUAAGAGCUUGCUCUUAUGAAGUUAGCGGCGGACGGGUGAGUAACACGUGGGUAACCUGCCCAUAAGACUGGGAUAACUCCGGGAAACCGGGGCUAAUACCGGAUAACAUUUUGAACCGCAUGGUUCGAAAUUGGAAGGCGGCUUCGGCUGUCACUUAUGGAUGGACCCGCGUCGCAUUAGCUAGUUGGUGAGGUAACGGCUCACCAAGGCAACGAUGCGUAGCCGACCUGAGAGGGUGAUCGGCCACACUGGGACUGAGACACGGCCCAGACUCCUACGGGAGGCAGCAGUAGGGAAUCGUCCGCAAUGGACGAAAGUCUGACGGAGCAACGCCGCGUGAGUGAUGAAGGCUUUCGGGUCGUAAAACUCUGUUGUUAGGGAAGAACAAGUGCUAGUUGAAUAAGCUGGCACCUUGACGGUACCUAACCAGAAAGCCACGGCUAACUACGUGCCAGCCGCCGCAGUAA
rnacentral:rRNA from 1 species